AUCCAACUGACGAGUCCCAAAUAGGACGAAACGUGAGUCAAACUGCAU
rnacentral:hammerhead_ribozyme from 1 species